AGGAAAUUGUGGCCAUCAAAGAAGCCUACCAAAGGCUAUUUAGCAAGAGCCUUGAAUCCGAUGUCAAAGGCGAUACAAGUGGAAACCUAAGGAAGAUUCUGGUGUCCCUGCUUCAGGCCAGUCGAGAUGAAGGAGAUACCGUGGACAAAGACCUGGCUGGUCAGGAUGCCAAAGAUUUGUACGAUGCAGGGGAAGGCCGCUGGGGUACCGACGAGCUUGCCUUCAAUGAAGUCCUGGCCAAGAGGAGCUACAAGCAGUUGCGGGCCACCUUUCAAGCGUAUCAAAUUGUAAGUAGGGAAGGCC